rnacentral:rRNA from 1 species
GACGAACGCUGGCGGCGUGCUUAACACAUGCAAGUCGAACGGAAAGGCCCUGCUUUUGUGGGGUGCUCGAGUGGCGAACGGGUGAGUAACACGUGAGUAACCUGCCCUUGACUUUGGGAUAACUUCAGGAAACUGGGGCUAAUACAGGAUAGGAGCUCCUGCUGCAUGGUGGGGGUUGGAAAGUUUCGGCGGUUGGGGAUGGACUCGCGGCUUAUCAGCUUGUUGGUGGGGUAGUGGCUUACCAAGGCUUUGACGGGUAGCCGGCCUGAGAGGGUGGCCGGCCACAUUGGGACUGAGAUACGGCCCAGACUCCUACGGGAGGCAGCAGUGGGGAAUAUUGCACAAUGGGCGGAAGCCUGAUGCAGCAACGCCGCGUGCGGGAUGACGGCCUUCGGGUUGUAAACCGCUUUCGCCUGUGACGAAGCGUGAGUGACGGUAAUGGGUAAAGAAGCACCGGCUAACUACGUG